rnacentral:rRNA from 1 species
GAUCAUGGCUCAGGACGAACGCUGGCGGCGCGCCUAACACAUGCAAGUCGAACGAGAGAUGAGGAGCUUGCCCUUCAAAUCGAGUGGCGAACGGGUGAGUAACGCGUGAGGAACCUGCCUCAAAGAGGGGGACAACAGUUGGAAACGACUGCUAAUACCGCAUAAGCCCACGGCUCGGCAUCGAGCAGAGGGAAAAGGAGCAAUCCGCUUUGAGAUGGCCUCGCGUCCGAUUAG